AUGAAAAUCAUCGUGUGGAACUGUCAUGGGAUGCGUAAACCUGCGACAGUUCGGGCGCUCUUGGGGAUCCAAGAGCGAAUAAACCCAGAUGUGUUGUUCCUGUCUGAAACACACAUGGAUAAGGCUAAGGCAGGGAAACUAAGAAGGAGGUUAGGGUAUGAUGAGAUGGAAGUUUUGGAAAGUGACGGCAGAAGUGGAGGAUUGACCAUGCUUUGGCAAUCUAGCUUGGGAGUCUCUUCUCGGGCUGUUCAUGCAAACUAUAUAGAUAUACAAAUAAAGGAGGUGACACCUGCGGGAUGGCGCUUCACAGGUUUCUACGGCAAGCCAAGUAGUGACCGUAAAUACCUGUCGUGGGAAUAUUUGCGUGGUCUGCACACAUUGGCUGAUCUGCCAUGGAUAGUGGGAGGAGACUUUGAUGAAAAUUUGCAAGCUCAUGAGAAAGAAGGGGGGCGGCACGCCCCCAAUGAUGUAUGCAGGCUUUUAGCAAUGCGCUGA
rnacentral:rRNA from 1 species